rnacentral:tRNA from 1 species
GUUAACGUAGCUUAAAUUCAUACCAAAGCAAGACACUGAAAAUGUCUAGAUGGACAUACACUGCCCCGUCAACA